rnacentral:miRNA from 1 species
UGGAAAAAACUGGUGUGUGCUU